GGUAGCUUAAUGGUAUAGCGUAGGACUGUAGUUAAAAUUGAAAUCCUUAGGUUGUUGGUUCGAAUCCAGCC
rnacentral:tRNA from 16 species